UAUUCCCAAUGGGACUCUCCUCCAAAGUCCCAGUCCCAGUAGGACUUCUCACCAGAGUCACAAUCUAAUUGGAUCCUUCAGCCAUCAGAUCUGAUCAAAUCUUUUAGUGUGUGUGACCCUAUAAGUUUGAACUUAAGUCAAUAGCAUUGGAACAACUUUCUAUACCAAUCGAUGUAACCAUCUAGCAAUGGUGACCCGA
rnacentral:lncRNA from 1 species